CCCGGUGGCUAUAGCGGAGGGGCCACACCCGUUCCCAUUCCGAACACGGAAGUUAAGCCCUCCAGCGCCGAUGGUACUGCUUGGGCGACCUUGUGGGAGAGUAGGACGCUGCCGGGA
rnacentral:rRNA from 1 species